rnacentral:lncRNA from 1 species
GCAUAGUCAAGAUCAGGGAUUCCUCAGCAGGAUUGAGGAUGUUUCCCCAGCAGGCUUGGAAGUGGCUUGUCUACCCAGCAUAGUCAAGAUCAGGGAUUCCUCAGCAGGAUUGAGGAUGUUUCCCCAGCAGGCUUGGAAGUGGCUGUUUCCCCAAGCAAGUCUGAAAGCUAUUAUAACUGUUCUUCCCCGGCAGAAGCGUUUGUGGGUAGUGUGUCCCUCAGCAGCAAGU